rnacentral:tRNA from 3 species
GCGGGAAUAGCUCAGUGGUAGAGCAUCUCCUUGCCAAGGAGAGGGUCGCGGGUUCGAAUCCCGUUUCCCGCU